UACGGUUACCCUUGUUACGACUUAAAGCCCUAACUUUAAAUAAGCUGUAAUACAGCUUUACUAUGAGUUUUAUACAGAAGAGUAGAAUUUUAUAUGAAAGGGUGAAAUCUGGAAAUAUAUAAAGGAAUAUCAAUAGCGAAGGCAACUCUUUAGUAAAAACUGACGUUGAGGAACGAAAGUGUAGGUAGCAAACAGGAUUAGAUACCCUGGUAGUCUACACUGUAAAUUCUGAGUGCUGUAAUUUAAUGUAAAAGUUAAUUCUUUUAUUUAGAUUUUUAAGUUAACACCAUAAGCACUCCGCCUGAGGAGUAUGAUCGCAAGGUUGGAACUCAAAGGAAUUGACGGGGGCUAGGACUAGUGGUGGAGUAUGUGGUUUAAUGCGAUAAUCCGCGCAAAACCUUACCAAUUUUUGACAUAAUAGCUAAAAUUUUAUUUUACUUUGAGGUAAAAUAAUAUAUUUUAACUAUUACAGGUGUUGCACGACUGUCGUCAGCUCGUGUUGUGAGAUGUUUGGUUAAUUCCUUUUAAACGAGCGUAACUCUUAUCUUUAAUUAAAUAAUUUACUAUUUUUAAAAAUUUUUUUUUAAAAGUUUUAUUUGAAACUGCUAAUAAAUAAGUUAGAGGAAGGUGAGAACUAAGCCAAGUCAAUGUGACCCUUAUAAAUUGGGCUACACACGUGCUACAAUGGAUACUACAGAAAGUUACAAAAAUUCAGUUUUUGUUAAUCUAUAAAAGUCUCCCCAGUUCGGAUUGUAGGCUGAAACUCGCUUACAUGAAGUUGGAAUCACUAGUAAUCGCGAAUCAGAACGUCGUGGUGAAUAUGUAAACUAGCCUUGUACACACCGCCCGUCACAUGCAAAGAGUUAGCUUUUUUUGAAAGUUUAACUUUGUUAAGCUGAUUUAAAAGGUAGUAAUUUGGAUGAAGUCGUAACAAGGU
rnacentral:rRNA from 1 species